UUAGCUAUUACUAUUGAUAAAUUAGCAACACAUUUAAGGUUCCAUUUUCAUGGAAAAGCUUUGUAUGGAUUAUACAGCCAUGUUGAACCUGUGGGCCUGGGAGCCCCCUCCAUCUUUGUAGAUUUCCCCUUGAGAAAGAAGGGGAUCUAAAGAUGUUACAGUUGGAAAUGCCAAAGGUGAACGGCCUUGGUAAGAGGGAUUACCCAAGGUAAAACCUCUUAGGGAUCCAGGCUGCUGGGGUUUUCCGUCUGUCUCAGAAAUUUAGGCAGGUGUGGUUCCCUGGUGCCCUGAUAAGAGAUGACUCAGCACAGGGAAGAGAACCACUAGGCUCACAGACCAACAACUUCCUUCUUUCCUGGGCUUUUCCCUUGGUGUCUACACAACCUGCAGCCUUCCUGCAUCAGGGCAGGAGGAGGACUUAUCUGAUGCCACAGACCAGUGGCUUUCAGAGAGGGUACACGUAAUUGUCUGCUGUCUGCCGUCUGCGGUUGCUCACUGUGUCAGUGACUGGGUAAAGUGUUUCCACUUCAGCCACAUCCUCCAGUCCAGCUUUGUCAGUAAUAAAGAUGACAUUUUGAUCUCUA